rnacentral:lncRNA from 1 species
AUUGCAUCACCAUCACAGCUCCAUAGCCUUGGUGGCGCUCCAUUGCAGCCCGGAGAAGGUCCAUUGCGGCACUGACGGUGCGGCAAAAGCCCCAACGCAGCCUGACAAAGCUCCAUUGCAGCGUCCACGAAGCUCCAUUGCAGCGCUGACAGUGCGGCAAGAGCUCCAACACAGCGUGACAAAGCUCCAUUGACGUUGGUUGCAACAUCUCCAGUCGACGCCGGUUGUAGCCGUGGUGAGCUUUACGCAAUAGCAGCAGCCUCUACUUUGCAGAGAUUAUUGCUAGCACAAGCACCUCCACUGGCAGCAUCGGAGCGGCUGGACGACGGAAGCUUCACAGCAGGACGCGGCAACCAUGGGAGAAAAAUGACAUGUGAACACCACGAGUGCGUCGCGCCGGACAUCGCUUUGAAGCCCUACGAG